AUUUAACCUGAAGAAUUCAUUUUUAUUUGUGAGAAGAGAAUUACAGUGUGAACGACACAGAAAAUAACAGAGCCCGAUUAAUUUAAGUUACAUGAAUAAUAAACAUAAAUCCAGAAAAAAGCAUGAAAAUAGUAUUUAAAUACUGUUACUUGUAAAUUACUCUCAUAAAACACAAUUAUCUUGGCACAUAAAAAAGGCAGUGGCCCUGAACAAAGAUUUACAAAUGUCCCCAAAAGGAUUUCUGUGCUUCAUAUCAUUUUGCACAGGUAAAAAUCAUGGGCGCAAAAGCUUAGUCCAAUAAAAGCAUAUUAAACCAUAAUGCUGUGCUUUACUUGGCCUUAAUCAUUUUGCAGCUAGAAUGUUAACUUAAUUCAUUAAUAAGCUAAAUAAUCCAAGGCACACAGAUUGCAUUUGGUUACAAGGUAGACAGAGAAGAAAUAAUAAUCGAGUCCAAAUGUAUUGUGAGAUGUGAGUUUUUCCAGCACAGUAUCUUAGACAUUGGA
rnacentral:lncRNA from 1 species